rnacentral:rRNA from 1 species
ACUUACAUUGAAGCCUAGCGAUAUGUAAGUUAGUGGCGGACGGGUGAGUAACGCGUGGGUAACCUGCCUCAUACAGGGGGAUAACAGUUAGAAAUGACUGCUAAUACCGCAUAAGCGCACAGGACCGCAUGGUCUAGUGUGAAAAACUCCGGUGGUACAAGAUGGACCCGCGUCUGAUUAGCUGGUUGGUGAGGUAACGGCCCACCAAGGCGACGAUCAGUAGCCGGCCUGAGAGGGUGAACGGCCACAUUGGGACUGAGACACGGCCCAAACUCC